rnacentral:sRNA from 1 species
CAAAAACUAACUUAAACACACACAUACAUCGACACAUAGGUCGGGGUGCCCAAAAUCUAGCGGCUAUCAUGGUUGCAGAGCAUGGGUCGAACUAUGGGAUGUAUGGAGGCAUAAC